rnacentral:rRNA from 1 species
GAUGAACGCUGACAGAAUGCUUAACACAUGCAAGUCGAUGGGGAAGUGGUGCUUGCACCAUGGUAACCAUGGCGGACGGGUGAGUAACACGUAAGGAACUUACCUGCGGGACCGGGAUAACAGCAGGAAACUGCUGACAAGACCGGAUAAAGUCAUUAAGCUGCAUAGCUUAGUGAUGAAAGGAGACGCCUGCGGAGAGCCUUGCGUCCUAUUAGCUAGUUGGAGGGGUAACGGCCCACCAAGGCGAAGAUAGGUAGCCGGCCUGAGAGGGUGGACGGCCACAAGGGGACUGAGAUACGGCCCUUACUCCUACGGGAGGCAGCAGUGGGGAAUAUUGGACAAUGGGGGCAACCCUGAUCCAGCAAUUCUGUGUGCACGAAGACGGUUUUCGGAUUGUAAAGUGCUUUCAGCAGGGAAGAAGGAAGUGACGGUACCUGCAGAAGAAGCGACGGCUAAAUACGUG